UACGUAGGGUGCGAGCGUUAAUCGGAAUUACUGGGCGUAAAGCGUGCGCAGGCGGUUUUGUAAGCCAGAUGUGAAAUCCCCGGGCUUAACCUGGGAAUGGCAUUUGUGACUGCAUCGCUGGAGUGCGGCAGAGGGGGAUGGAAUUCCGCGUGUAGCAGUGAAAUGCGUAGAUAUGCGGAGGAACACCGAUGGCGAAGGCAAUCCCCUGGGCCUGCACUGACGCUCAUGCACGAAAGCGUGGGGAGCAAACAGG
rnacentral:rRNA from 1 species